GGGGGCGAAACGGUUUCGACGGGGUCGUGCAAAUCGAGGCUGCGUGUCGAGGAGUUCGGUGACCUCGUAAAUACCGCCGGAAAACCCUACAAGUGCCAACAACAACAAGCACUUCGCUCUCGCUGCUUAAUUGAGAGCCGUCCGGACCCGAUGUUGCCAGGGGCACGGGUCUGGGCGUGUCUAGACCUGGAUAAUCCCGAAGCGUGAUGUGGCGUCGCGUGGGGGGAUGACAAAUAUACGAACCAAUUCGCCAUGAACGAAGGUCAAGGGGAUGCUCACAGCCCUGGCACUCGUUGUUUUCUGUGAGCUACACACGUAGACGCCGACAUGGAGCGGCUGCGGACGUGGGUUCGACUCCCACCGCCUCCACU
rnacentral:tmRNA from 1 species